CCUACGGGUGGCAGCAGUGAGGAAUAUUGGUCAAUGGGCGCGAGCCUGAACCAGCCAAGUAGCGUGAAGGAUGACUGCCCUACGGGUUGUAAACUUCUUUUAUCAAGGAAUAAAGUGAGGCACGUGUGCCUUUUUGUAUGUACUUUAUGAAAAAGGAUCGGCUAACGCCGUGCCAGCAGCCGCGGGAAUACGGAGGAUCCGAGCGUUUUCCGGAUUUAUUGGGGUUAAAGGGAGCGUAGGUGGGUUGUUAAGUCAGUUGUGAAAGUUUGCGGCUCAAACGUAAAAUUGCAGUUGAUACUGGCAGCCUUGAGUACAGUUGAGGUAGGCGGAAUUCGUGGUGUAGCGGUGAAAUGCUUAGAUAUCACGAAGAACUCCGAUUGCGAAGGCAGCCUACUAAACUGCCACUGACGUUGAUGCUCGAAAGUGUGGGUAUCAAACAGGAUUAGAUACCCUUGUAGUC
rnacentral:rRNA from 1 species